ensembl:lncRNA
CAGCAGGCCAGUGGAGGGAACUGGGCCAGCAGAUGGCAGGGACCGAGAGAAGCCCUGCCUGUGAGAACAGGAAGGUGAGCUGCAGCCACAGGAAAGCAUGGAGUGUGGAGGACCCACAAGACAUCCAUAAGACAGGGCCCCAGCUGUAGAAGAAUCACAGUCUGAGGACACUUCCAAAACUUCAGAGAGAAAGAGGAAUGGAAGGCGCUGGUUAGAAACCUGGGCCUUGGGAUCAGACAGAUUCAAAUCCCAGCCUUGCUACCACUGCCAAGUGUCACUUUGGGCCAGUUGCUUAGCUCCUCUUUGACUCAGUCUUCUCAUCUCUAAAAUGGGCACCAAUGGCAGUCCCUACGGCACGGGGCUCUUCUGGGGGUGAGAUAGGAUCAGAGCGACGAGGCUGAGCAAAGUGCCUGAUGGCCUGCAAGCUGCUCCAGAGCAGGACUCUGUCUAGGUCUGCUCCCCUUUGUAUCCAGAGAACUUGACCCAGAGAAACCACAGUUCAGCCCCGGUCCAGUGAACCAGCUCUGAACCAGCCGUGUGAAAGAUUGGACACUCCUGAGAGCAAACACUCCAUCAAGUCCAUGACCCCAGAUCCUGUGAUGAGGAAAACUGAUGCCUAGAAAUUUGAAGUGACCUUCAGACUCACCCAACCUGCAAGAGGUGGCUGUGGCAUCAAACCUCCGUGUCUUUGCCCUCACAGCCUGAACUCUUAAGUGCUGCACUUUGUUGCAAGAAUAAUUGCAGCUUACAAGGGAGUAAAUAUUUUGCUUGCUUCAUCCAAUGAUAUGUGAGCGGAAGUACUGUGUGUCAUUUCCAAGUAAAGGUUUGUAUGUGCCAGGAUGAUUCUCCACAUCCUCUUUCUCUGCCUGAGCCAUCAAGGAAAUAGAGCCUCCAUCAGCUUGAAAUCCCCAGUGACUAUGAUAAACAGUGUACAUGUGACAUGAGUAAGAAAUAAACUUGGUUGUGUUAAACCAGUGAGAUUGGGUUGGGUGUUGGUUACUGCAGCACAACCUAGCCUUUCCUAAUUUAAGCGCAUCCAAUUGAUGCAUUUAGAUAAUAGGACAGGAACUCUGGCUGGGGGAGGUAUAAGGGAUUUCCUAAUGGAUGUGAUAUUCCCAGGUGGUGCUAGUAGUAAAGAAUCCACCUGCCAAUGCAGGAGGCAUAAGAGAUGCGAGUUCCUUCCCUGGGUAGGAAGAUCCCCCGGAGGCGGGGAUGGCAAACCACUCCAGUAUUCUUGCCUGGGGAAACCCAUGGACAGAGGAGCUGGCAGGCUAUGGCCUACAGGGUCACAGUCAGACAUUACUGAAGUGAUUCAGCAUGCAUGUGAUGUGAAAAAUCUGCUUCCUUUUUAGAUAACUCACUCUAAGGCCAGACUACUGUAAAGAAUUCUUAUCCCCUGCCCACAUUGCCUUUAAGAUUCACGCUCCAUUCAUCAGUAGAACUAGACAGAGAAGCCACACUAGAGAUUCAGUGAAAGAAAAGACCAGACUUUCAAUGGAAGGAAGGGACUAAAGAGACUGAAUGAACCCAGGGAGCCUGGAAGAGGCAGAGGGGUAAAGAGAAGCUCAGGUGACAGGAACGGAAGUCACACUGCCCUCCUGGAGUGUUGAGACUCAGGUCUUGCACCUGCUCAAGUAGCUGGAAGUGGAUUGGCUAGAGGAGAGAGGUUGUUCCUGGGUUCCUCUGUCCUGAUUUAGAACUAGGCCCUCAAAUCUGGAGUAAAACAAGUCUUCUAGUUAUGAGGUAUGUAGUUUGGGUAAGAGGAGAUCCACGUACUUAUGAGUGGUGUGUUAAUUUCCUAGGGCUGGUGGCUGAAAGACAAAAAACCCAGCAUUUUCAUUUCUCUGAGUCCUGGAGGUUGGAAGUCCAAGAUCAACCUGUCCAGCAGGGUUGGCUUCUUCUGAGGCCUCUCUGCUUGGCUUGCAGGCAGCCACUUUCUCUCUUCAGGGCUUUGGUCUGCCCUCUGUGUGUGAGUCUGGGUGCUAAUCCCCUCUUCUUCUAAGGACAUCAGUCAUUUUGCAUUGGGCCCCACCCAAAUGACCUCAUUUUACCUUACUCACCUCUUUCAAGGUCACUGUCCAAAUGCUGACACAUUCUAAGGUACUGGGGUUUGGGACUUCACCUUAUGAAUUUGGGAAGUGGGGGCAGGGAAGGUGGGACACAAUUUAGCCCAUAAGAGAUGGUAACAUCCUUCCUGUUCACAAUGGGGGUGGCAGUGCCAAGAGUACACAGGUAAAGUGCCUGGCUUUCAGUUGUUCCAGUGAAAGGUAAUUAUUCAUUCUGUCGGGUUGUUUGACCUUUUGCAGGUUCAUAAAUUCUCCAAGGUUAAGCACUAUGUUCUUGUGCUUCUUUGUACCCUGCACAGCCCAAAGCUGCAUCAUAUACACAGCAGUCAGAGAUUAUCAUGGUGGUUAAGAGCAUGGGAUUCAAAGCCAAAUACACUCGAGCUCAAAUUCUGGCUCUGCCAUUUAGUGGCUGGGUAGCCUUGGGCAAGUCACUGAAAUAUUCUUUGACUGUGUCCUCCUCAGUUUAUUAGGUUUGUUGCACCUACCUGUGGGCUUCCCUGGUGGCUCAGAGGUUAAAGCGUCUGCCUCCAAUGUGGGAGACCCGGGUUCGAUCCCUGGGUCGGGAAGAUCCCCUGGAGAAGGAAAUGGCAACUCACUCCAGUAUUCUUGCCUGGAGAAUCCCAUGGACUGAGGAGCCUGGUGGGCUGCAGUCCACGGUGUCACAAAGAGUCGGACAUGACUGAGUGACUUUACUUACGCACCUACUUGUAUUCAUCUCCCAGGGCUGCUGCAACAGAUUACCACAAGUGAGGGGUUUAAAACAACACAAAUGAUAUUACCUUAUAGUGGUAAAGGUCAGAUGUCCAAAAUCAGUCUCGCUGGGCUAAAAUCUGGGUGUCUGCAGGGCUGUGCUCCCUCUGGGGGUUUGUGGAGAGAAUCCAUUUCUUGUCUAGAGGCUACCUGCAUUCCUUGGUUUAUGACCCUGUUAUGUCUUUCAGUCCAGCGAUUGUGUCACUCCAAUCUUUGCUUCUGUUAUCACAUCUUCUCCUCUGAUUCUGACUCUUCCAUCUCACUCAUUGACGUAUAAAGGCCUUUGUGAUUACUGUGGGAUAACUCAAGAUAAAUUCUGAAGAUCAGCUGAUUAGCAAUCUUAAUUCCACUUGCAACCUGAAUACGUCUUCACUGUGUAACCUAACAUAUACAGAGGUUCCAGGGAGUAGGAAGUGGACAGCAUUGGGAGGCCAUUAUUUUGCCUACCUCUAAGAAUUAUUGUGAAAGCCAAAUGAAGUAAUCUACGGAAAGGGUUUGGUACAGUGGGUAAUCAAUAAACAAUAUUCAGGACUUCUCUGGAGGUCCAGUGGUUAAGACUCUGUGCUUCCACUGCGGGGUACACGGGUUCGAUCCCUGGUCAGGAAACUGAGAUACCAUAAUGACGUACAAUGCAGUCAAAACAAGCAAAUAAAAUCUUGGCCCACUUAACAUAUACCUGUAUAACUCAGAAGGAAAAAAAACAAAAAUAGAAAAAUAAAAUACUUUAAAAGAUAAACAAUGUUCUUUGUUUCCUAAAAACUCAUUCUAUAAAACUCUUCACUGAAGAUCAAUAUUUUGGAAACUACGGGCCUGUGCAAAUGAAAGUUACUUUGAAAUUCUGGCAGAAUUUGUUUAGGUGUAGAGGUGUCCAGGAUCAUAGCAUCUUUGAGCAGAAAGAGAUGCUAUAAGUCAUCAAAGCCAGUUCUCUAAUUUUACCAAAAAGUUAACUGGGGCCUGAAAAUUAUAACUGGCAGAACGAGAAGUCACAGCUAGACUUACUGUAUGAUGCACAAAUUUAAUGUCUUAUCACUAGGCAAUAUUUCAAUAGUCAUCUUCUGCUUCUUUUCUCUUCAUAAUCCAGGAAGACUGAAACCUGGAUGGCAGUUUAGAUCUGUCAGCAAAAUUGUAAUUUCUUGCAUUUAUGUAGCAUUAUUCUCCCAGUGAAGUCAAAGAAUUUUAUAUAGAACCUUCCUCUAUGAAGGGCUUCCCUGGUGGAUCAGACAGUAAAGAAUCUGUCCACAAUGCAGGAGACCCAGGUUCAAUCCCCGGGUUGGGAAGGUCCCCUGGAGAAGGAAAUGGCUAUCCACUUCAGUAUUCUUUCCUGGAGAAUCCCAUUGACAGAGGAUCCUGGU